CCUCAGUCGCCUAGAGGUCCCGCUGAGGAGAGGUGUACAUGCAGAAGUCCAGUAAAGUGAAGUCGCUGUACUGUUUUAUUUUUAUUUUAAACAGUUAUGGGAGAAUAAACCCGUCCAGCUGGCAAAGUGAGAUCUGACUCCUCUGGUCAUUUGCACAACACAACGCAGAGAACUAACGGCAAUCAGAGUUUAAGGCCAGACCGGCUACAUCAGGAGCACGAACUGGGGUGUCCAAAUGACGAACAAACAGUAUACCACAUUCUUGAUUUUUAGUUCACACACACUUCUUAUAAUGACUAACUACACUUGAAAUUUUGGAGAUGUUAGCUCUUUCUACAGUAAAGUAACAGUGGGAUGCAAAUAAUAUCAGGCUGACUAAUAGCAAAAAAAGUUUGGGAACCACUGAGUUAUUGUAAUCGUGUGAGCAUUAACUUUUCAACUUUUAUCCUGCUAUUGAGGGGAUGACAUCAUCUUUUUACAAUAUCUGAUGCAAUAUAAACAUUUCACAUUCUUAUGUCUAAUUUGAUUGGAAGAGGGAGCUGUCCAAUCAAAACUUACUGUUCUUCCAAGCCUUAAAAUGAGAAGUUUAAAUACUGCCUAGUAAAAGCAAAGUUGUUUGACUGAGCUCAGAGGUGUUUGUGAAAUCUGAUAAAGAAGAAGAUUUAUCACGUACUUCAUUAAUAUUUGCUUUGCUUUUUUUCCUUCUUCUUCUUCUCCUUCUUCUUCAACUUCCAAACUGAAUAUGUCUUUACAGAAUGCUUCAAUCAAUGUAACACACUUUAUUAUAGGUGGUUUUGACACACUCAAUAGACCUAUUGCUGUUGGUGUGUUUAUACUAAUAAUCUAUCUUCUUGCUGUUCUUGCCAAUAUGGCAAAUAUUAUGUUUAUUGUUUCUGACAAGAGUUUACAUAAACCAAUGUAUCUUCUGAUUUGCAACCUUGCUGUUGUUGAUAUAAUGUACACCUCCAGUUGCAAUCCAACAAUGAUUGGGGUUCUACUCGCAGGUGUUAAUACUAUAUCCUAUGUGGAGUGUUUAAUUCAAAUGUGUGUUUUCCAUUUGGGAACAGUGAUGGAGUCAUUUGUUUUAGCAUUUAUGGCACUGGAUAGAUUCAUUGCAAUCAUUUAUCCGUUCCAGUAUCACAGUUAUUUAACAAACACACAUGUUCUUGUUCUUACAUUUAUCCUGUGGUUCGUUGCCUGGUGUUUUAUGUGCUAUAUGCCUGCAAUAGUUAUCCCCCUACCACACUGUAGCUCCAGGCUUAGGUACACUUUCUGUGACUUUCCUGCUGUGUUAAGAACAACCUGUGUUAACCCAGAUAAAUAUUUCAAUGAAGGUGCCAUUAUAGCAUUUUUUAUUUUCUUUUUCACUUUUGUUUUCAUUUGUCUUUCAUAUUGUGGAAUCUUACUUUUUGUCAAAUUAUCUUCAAAUAAUGAAAAAAAGAAAAUGGGGAGCACUCUUGUGAGUCACUUAAUUUGUGUAAUUGUUCAUUACGGUCCUGCGUUUGUUCAGAUUAUCUUCACCAGGUUGGGUGUGGUAUUAACUCUCGAGGAACGCCAAGGUUUAU